rnacentral:rRNA from 1 species
ACCUGGUUGAUCCUGCCAGUAGUUAUAUGCUUGUCUCAAAGAUUAAGCCAUGCAUGUCUAAGUACAAACGAAAAUAAAGUGAAACCGCAAAAGGCUCAUUAUAUCAGUUAUGGUUUCUUAGAUCGUAUCCACAAUUACUUGGAUAACUGUGGUAAUUCUAGAGCUAAUACAUGCAUUUAAAGAGAAACCAGUAAAAUGGGUUCUCUGCUUUUAUUAGAUUUAAACCAAUGGGGAGCGUUUCGGCGUUCUUACAUUUAAACUGGUUGAACUCUGGAUAAUUUGUUGAUCGCAUGGUCUCGUACCGGCGACGGAUCUUUCAAAUGUCUGCCCUAUCAACUAUUGAAGGUAAUGUCUUGGAUUACCUUGGUUGCAACGGGUAACGGGGAAUCAGGGUUCGAUUCCGGAGAGGGAGCCUGAGAAACGGCUACCACAUCUAAGGAAGGCAGCAGGCGCGUAAAUUACCCACUCCCAGCACGGGGAGGUAGUGACGAAAAAUAACAAUACAAGACUCACAUCCGAGGCCUUGUAAUUGGAAUGAGUACACUUUAAAUCCUUUAACAAGGAUCAAUUGGAGGGCAAGUCUGGUGCCAGCAGCCGCGGUAAUUCCAGCUCCAAUAGCGUAUAUUAAAGUUGUUGCGGUUAAAACGUUCGUAGUUGAACUUGUGUUCCGCACGGGCAGUACCAAAUAACUGGUAACAGUAGUGGUACCUUGUCUUACUUCCUGUCUUCGGAUUAGGAAAUGUGCGUGGACGUAUUAUCGGCGUGUUCGCUCUAGUAGCGUUCACAUAAGCCCAUCGCAGUGCUCUUAAACAAGUGUUGCUGUGGGCCGAUACAAAUUACUUUGAACAAAUUAGAGUGCUUAAAGCAGGCUUGUAAUGCCUGAAUAUUUUGUGCAUGGAAUAAUGAAAUAGGACAUCUGUUCUACUUUCAUUGGUUUUUAGACCAAGAUGUA